AGCGCUGCCCCAGGAGAAGACCUGGUCAGCAGCACUGACAGAGACAGCCCAGCUGCCUGGCUCCCCACAGCCACUCUUGGUUUCCCACGGGUCUGUUACACCUGCGUUGUUAUGCACACAGUGUUCCUCCAACCCCCAUGACACUGCUGUCUCUGGACUCUGUGUGAAAUACUCAGACCCAGGUAUGUGCAUGUCCUGCACCCGCACGACACAGGGGUGUGUCACCUUGAAACCAGAAAUGCCAGAGUUUGUGCCGCCUUUACUACGAGAACCAAUAACUAGAGAGAAGGAUUGAAUCUUCAUGGGCGCUUUAUUCAGAGGCCAGCAACCUGAGAAGACGGCAGGCUCUGUACCCUCAAAAUCUGUCUUAACAUCUCAUCUCAGGCCAACCUCGUUAUAAGGAGAAGAAAGGGCAGUCACGGCAAAGACGUUCAGCUGCGCUUGUUAAUCCGCGCUGAGCGGCCAACAGACCGUUUGGAAAGAGGAGGAACGAGCCAGCUCCCGUUCCACUGAGCUUUCUCUGCACCCUCGGCGGACCGAUCUGACCACAUUUCCCCCCUUCUUGUUAAAUUAGCAGUUCAGCCGUC